ensembl:snRNA U6 U6 spliceosomal RNA
AUACUGGCUUUGACAGCACAUAUGCUAAAAUUGGAACUAUACAGAGAAAGUUAGCAUUACCCCUGUACAAGGAAGACACACAAAUUCAUGAAGCAUUCCAUGUAUUU